UAGCCUGACGUCAAAUUCAUCGAGGUGCUAAGGCGGGCAUGAAUGGCUCGAGUGCUCGAUUUGUGAGUGUAAAGCCCACUGGAUAGCCCAACUAAUAUUUAUCUUCACUUGUAAGUAAGAGAUCAAAUUUCAUAACCAAUUUAUCUUAACCUCCUUAGUGUUGGUAUAUAUCGUUGUAUAUAAAUUUCAGAAACAAUCGUUACUCUUCUAUCUCUAGGAACCUUGAAAAUAUAGUAGAUUUGGUAAUAGGCAUUUGAAAACCAAGGUUCACAAGACUUGAUGGGCUUAUUCUUCACAUUAUUGGGUUGGGCUUCAAGGUCAGACCUAUGUAAAAUAAUAGACCAAAUGACAUGUUUCAAAAACACUGCUACCCUAUAUACCUAUAACAAUAUAUUCCUCCCAAAACUUUUCGGAAAAUCCCUGUCUCUCUCUAAAGCUGACCUUGA
rnacentral:lncRNA from 1 species